rnacentral:tRNA from 1 species
GGGAAUGUGGCUUAGUGGUAGAGUGCUUGCCUACCAUGCAUGAAGCCCUGGGUUUAAUUCCUCAGUACCA